UACGGAGGGUGCAAGCGUUAUCCGGAUUCACUGGGUUUAAAGGGUGCGUAGGUGGGUUGGUAAGUCAGUGGUGAAAUCCCCGAGCUUAACUUGGGAACUGCCAUUGAUACUAUCAGUCUUGAAUACCGUGGAGGUCGGCGGAAUAUGUCAUGUAGCGGUGAAAUGCUUAGAUAUGACAUAGAACACCAAUUGCGAGGGCAGCUGACUACGCGAGUAUUGACACUGAGGCACGAAAGCGUGGGGAUCAAACAGG
rnacentral:rRNA from 1 species